CAUAAUCUCUCUCUCUCUCACUCUCUCAGCCGCUUCUUUUCCCCUCUCAAAUUUCUCUCUCCUCUCUCCUUCUCUUUCGCCGUUUUCUUUCUCUUUGAAUCUCGUCCCCUUCGACGGUGAGGAUUGGAUUGUGUGCGUGUUGUGUGUGUGUCUAGUGUUCGAGCAGUCGGGUUGUGCGAGGGUGUUGUGUAAGCGAUUAGUGCGAGCAGUUCGUGCGACGAGUGUUGUGGGUGAGAAGUCGCGCCUGCGAAACCGAGGGUUGUGCGACGAGAUUGUUUGUGCGAACGAACGAAGUUGUGCGAGUGGUGCGAGCGUGCAAGCGAGACUCGUGAUGGGUUGCUGCUAUGUGUGCGAACCAAGGAAGGGGUUCGAGUGCUGGCGAGGCGUGCAAAGUCGAGCGAGUGUGCGGUGCGUGCGAAUUGAGUGUGGCUUGUGGCUCGAGUGUGGCUCGAAGGAGAGUGUCGUUACUUGGUGUGUGUGGGUGUUGUGGUGGUGCGAAGCGAGGUGUUCGCAUUCGUGUGUGGCGCGCGAAGUGUCGUGGUUCGAGGCUGGUUGCGACGCUGCCGGAGUCGGUUGCCGGUGUUUGACGCCUACGAGACGGAGUGGUCCCAAUUUAAUACACGGAGCGUUUAAUUAGUCAGCGAAGAUUCUUCCUUACAAGUGUGAAAAUGCACUGAAGGAGAUUACAUUCAUGUCAACUUACUGUUACAAAGAGAAAGCAACAUAUCUUCAGGCAAUAAAGGGUAAUUCUCCAUUCAUGUCAACCUACUGUUACAUGAAUAUUUGACAAACCACUAUAAGAAACCAUAACACAAUUUGUAAGCGAGAUUACUUGGCAGAAUACGUUCGAAUAGCAGCAAUGACAAAUUGACAAUUAGGUAGUACCCCUCAUUUCCUUGUUUUCUUCUCUGCUUUCUUCAAAAAAAAAAAAAAAAAAAUUCAGAAAAUAAGGGGGCGCCCACCAAGGACGCCCCACCACCGGUGGAGGCGUCCUUGGCAGGCGCCUCACCAUGUGGUGGAGCGCCUGCCAAGGACGCCUCCACCGAUGGUGGGGCGUCCUUGGUGGGCGCCCCGUUAUUUUUUUCAAAAAAAAAAAUCAGAAAAAAUGGAGAAAAAACAUGGAGAAGAAGCGAGGUAAGGUGGUGGACGUGCUGGUGGUGGUGUUGCUGGUGUGGUGGUGGUGCUGCUGGUGGUGGUGCUGCUGAUGGUGGUUCUGCUGAUGGUGGUUCUGCUGGUGGUGGAAGGAAACUUUUGAAAUUAGAGGAGGGAUUAGGGAAGUGAGUUAAGGGGAGGAGAGAGAAAAAAAUACAAAGUAUAUAAAUACAGUAUAAAAAUACUGUAUUUAGGGCGUUAAUAGGAAAUUGUAGGGCGUUGUUUAGCAAAGCCCUUUGUUUAUGCUUAGUAUGUCAUCUCAAUGCUUUACUAUGUACUCAACAUAGUUGAUUGUGUGUUAUUAUGUUAUUUAUUGACCUAUGAUGAACCUUUGAUGCUACAAUGGGGAGCAGACUAGAUGUGCUAGUGUUGCGUGCUACAUGAGAUUGAGCAUACGGGGGAUAUUUUCCAGUCUUUAAACUUUAAAGCAUUUUGGUUAAACAUUAUAGAACUAUUAUGAUUUAUUUAGUUGUGGUUUAAAUAAAAAGGGAUCGUUGAUGAUUCUCGGGUCAUAGUUACAUCUUUAGUUCCGCUGCACUUUAGUUUUCAUGAUAAUAAUUUAAGUUAAAUGUUUUAUUUCAAUAAGCCUUGCGUUUCACCGCGGCGGUAACAUUCCCAAAGUCGAUGCGACGUAGUCAUAGACGUGUAUGAAUUUUAGGGCUGUUACACAUGUUCUUGCAAAUCGGUCUUAUCUUGUUCUUAGCAGAGAAUUAGAGUCUAACUUAAUCAACACACCCACAUUAUUGGCAGCAACAAGUUUGCAAUAGACUCAAAGUUUAGAAUCUCGUAGGGAAUCUAGGGAUACACACCCAGAGAUAAACCCACUUGAUCUCUUCAAGAAACAGAUCAAAAUCAGGUCUUCAGGCUUGUAACAAAAAAAAUUCUCCUUGGACAUGCCAAGGUCUUUCAGAUCGACCAUACUAAGAAAAAGGUCAUUAGGGUUAGCAAAUUUUAACAGAAUCCAAUGGUUACCCAUCUCUAAAAACUCUAUUUCACCCUUAACAAAUUUUCAUCCAGCCUUUGUGCGAGAAACAAUACUAUGCACAUCUAAGGGUUCACCAAGCAUCUUACCUAGUAGGCAGGACUUUGAGAGUUUCUUAAUGUCUUUCUGAACUUGAGAGAGUUCAUGCACCACAACAGCCUCAUGGUAGGCAACAUUAGAGGAGGAUCAUGCAUACAUUCAGCAAUCGCAGCAUUAGAAGUAACAAUAGAGGGUGGAACACACAUAUUAGGCUCACUCACUUACCAGGAAAUCCAGUUCCAUCUUUCUAGUGAGACCCAGAAGACAUAACAUCAUCUUUAAAUGCAUGUUAAAAUUUGAGGGCUUUUCACACUUUCAGACAAAGCACAUUGAAGAAAACCAUAACUAAAGUAAACACAAAGGAAAAUAAGAAGAAGUUGGAGUGAUGAGAGAACUCUAACCUUCCAACCCCUUUUAUAGUAAGGAUAGAGCACACGAGCAAAUUUGCCAACACUUAUAAAAAAAACUUUAGAAAUGAAACUUACCAUCACCAUUAAUGCUAGGGUUUCAUUCUUAAAAAAGACGUGCACACUUGAUUAAUCACACGCCAAGAAAUGAGAAGAUUUAAGAAGUAAAUCUCCCUGAUAAUGAAUGACACUACUACAACUAAAUCCACUCUCUCACACAACACUCGAACUCUCUGCCACAUAUUUAUUGCAAGAAAAAGCAACACCCAACCAAAAGCUCCAAAACUCGGAGAAAACCUUAGUGAAAGAGGAUUGAAUUGAGAAGCAUGGCCCAAAAAUUGGAUAACAGCCUGUAAUUGCCCUCUCAAAAGCUUCACACAUAGCUUUAAUUGAGAACUAACCCUACUAUUAUAGCAUAGGAUCAAAUUAUGAUAGCUAAUAAAACCAACUUUACCAAGUUUCAGGCAGACUAAUCUAGGGAAAAACCAAAACGAUAAUUUAAUCGUACUUUGAUAAAGACGAGAGGGAAGAGUCGCUGCAAUUAAGAAGAAAUUGCAGAGAUUGAUAAUAAUUAGAAGCAACUGAAGAGAUUUGUUCAAGGGAGCUAGAGUUUCUCUGGUUUUCAAUUGGGGAUCAGAUUUUCCCCCUCUUUCUUUCUCUUUCUCUUUCUAGCUUUCUCUCUCAUCUUUUAUUAUUAUUAUUAUCAUGAUUAAAAAUGGUAACAAACAUAUAUGACGAUGAAAGUUAUAGUAAUUAUAAUAGAUAAUGUUUGGGCCUUUUUCAUGGAACAACCCAUUUCUAGAAAAAUUACCAAAAUACCCAUACUUCUAGGACCAUCAAUCCUCCACUAGCUGAAGUUGACCUAAAUACCCUAAUUUAUUGCGAUUCACAGCCACUAUAAAUAGAGAAUGUCCCAUCAGUUAAAAGGUAUUAAAUUCUCACCUAAAAAACUAGAGCAUCUCUCUCUACAAUUACUGCUUUCUCUCUCUACCUCAAUUACUGAUUUGAGCGUCGGAGGGGCGUUCUCGAAAAAAUCUCGGGGUAGUUUUUCUGUGUGCUUUGCAGGUUUACCGGCGUCAAGACACAUCGGAGCUCUCGUACCCUCUCAACAUUCAGUUGACAUCUCCUUCAUCAUUACUUGAAGUUUCUUGACAGAAACAGAUAAUAUAAUUACAAUAAGGGGAAGAAGAAGAAUGGUAACAACAACAAUUUAUAAUUAUAAAAUUAAAGUAACAAAAAUAUUUGAUAACAAUAUAACAAUACACUAUCUAUCCCAAAACAAUCAAAAAGCAGUACCAUAAUCUUUUCUAGUAAUAGACAACUACACUUUAAUUUUAUAUCAUUCCAAUUGAAAUUAUUCACCCCUUAGCAAAAUAUACCACACACGACCAUACAAAUUACACAGCAAAGAUUACAACAUCCACCAAACCCAAAAAAGAUAGCUCCUCAAUGGACUAACAGU